GACGAACGCUGGCGGCGUGCCUAAUACAUGCAAGUUGAGCGAUGAAGCUUGGUGCUUGCCCCAAUUUGAAGAGCAGCGAACGGGUGAGUAACGCGUGGGGAAUCUGCCUUUGAGCGGGGGACAACAUUUGGAAACGAAUGCUAAUACCGCAUAAUAACUUUAAACAUAAGUUUUAAGUUUGAAAGAUGCAAUUGCAUCACUCAAAGAUGAUCCCGCGUUGUAUUAGCUAGUUGGUGAGGUAAAGGCUCACCAAGGCGAUGAUACAUAGCCGACCUGAGAGGGUGAUCGGCCACAUUGGGACUGAGACACGGCCCAAACUCCUACGGGAGGCAGCAGUAGGGAAUCUUCGGCAAUGGACGAAAGUCUGACCGAGCAACGCCGCGUGAGUGAAGAAGGGUUUCGGAUCGUAAAACUCUGUUGGUAGAGAAGAACGUUGGUGAGAGUGGAAAGCUCAUCAAGUGACGGUAACUACCCAGAAAGGGACGGCUAACUACGUG
rnacentral:rRNA from 1 species